rnacentral:rRNA from 1 species
UACGGAGGAUGCGAGCGUUAUCCGGAUUUAUUGGGUUUAAAGGGUGCGCAGGUUGUUUGAUAAGUCAGUGGUGAAAGUCUGUCGCUUAACGGUAGGAUUGCCAUUGAUACUGUUGGACUUGAAUAUGGAUGAGGUAGGCGGAAUGUGUAGUGUAGCGGUGAAAUGCAUAGAGAUUCGGAGGAACACCAGUAGCGAAGGCGGCUUUCUGGACCAUAACUGACGCUCAGGCACGAAAGCGUGGGGAGCAAACAGGAUUAGAUA